rnacentral:rRNA from 1 species
UACGUAGGGUGCAAGCGUUGUCCGGAAUUAUUGGGCGUAAAGAGCUCGUAGGCGGUCUGUCGCGUCUGCUGUGAAAACUCAGGGCUUAACCCUGAGCUUGCAGUGGGUACGGGCAGACUAGAGUGCGGUAGGGGGAGACUGGAAUUCCUGGUGUAGCGGUGAAAUGCGCAGAUAUCAGGAGGAACACCGGUGGCGAAGGCGGGUCUCUGGGCCGUAACUGACGCUGAGGAGCGAAAGCAUGGGGAGCAAACAGG